AUUGCGGGAGGCUAACGCAUUAAGUUGACCCNCCUGGGGAGUACGGUCGNCAAGAUUAAAACUCAAAGGAAUUGACGGGGGGCCCGCACAAGCGGUGGAGUAUGUGGUUUAAUUCGACGCAACGCGCAGAACCUUACCUGGUCUUGACAUCCCGGGAAUCAUUUGGAAACAUUUGAGUGCCUCAUUAGAGGAGCCUGGUGACAGGUGCUGCAUGGCUGUCGUCAACUCGUGUCGUGAGAUGUUGGGUUAAGUCCCGCAACGAGCGCAACCCUUAUCUUUGGUUGCCAUCAUUAAGUUGGGCACUCUAGAGAGACUGCCGGUGUCAAACCGGAGGAAGGUGGGGAUGACGUCAAGUCCUCAUGGCCUUUAUGAUCAGGGCUACACACGUACUACAAUGGCCGAUACAAAGGGCAGCCACAGGGCGACCUGGAGCGAAUCCCGUAAAAUCGGUCUCAGUCUGGAUUGGAGUCUGCAACUCGACUCCAUGAAGUUGGAAUCGCUAGUAAUCGUGGAUCAGCAUGCCACGGUGAAUACGUUCCCGGGCCUUGUACACACCGCCCGUCACACCACGGGAGUUGGUUGUACCAGAAGUAGUUGAGCUAACUUUUAGAGGCAGGCUACCA
rnacentral:rRNA from 1 species